UACGUAGGGUGCAAGCGUUGUCCGGAAUUAUUGGGCGUAAAGAGCUCGUAGGCGGUUUGUCGCGUCUGCUGUGAAAACCCGAGGCUCAACCUCGGGCCUGCGGUGGGUACGGGCAGACUAGAGUGCGGUAGGGGAGAUUGGAAUUCCUGGUGUAGCGGUGGAAUGCGCAGAUAUCAGGAGGAACACCGAUGGCGAAGGCAGAUCUCUGGGCCGUAACUGACGCUGAGGAGCGAAAGCGUGGGGAGCGAACAGG
rnacentral:rRNA from 1 species